UGGGGAAUAUUGGACAAUGGAGGAAACUCUGAUCCAGCAAUUCUGUGUGUGUGAAGAAGGUUUUAGGACUGUAAAACACUUUUAGUAGGGAAGAAAAAAAUGACGGUACCUACAGAAGAAGCAACGGCUAAAUACGUGCCAGCAGCCGCGGUAAUACGUAUGUUGCGAGCGUUAUCCGGAAUUAUUGGGCUUAAAGGGCAUCUAGGCGGUAAGACAAGUUGAAGGUGAAAACCUGUGGCUCAACCAUAGGCUUGCCUACAAAACUGUUGAACUAGAGUACUGGAAAGGUGGGUGGAACUACACGAGUAGAGGUGAAAUUCGUAGAUAUGUGUAGGAAUGCCGAUGAUGAAGAUAACUCACUGGACAGAAACUGACGCUGAAGUGGGAAAGCUAGGGGAGCAAACAGG
rnacentral:rRNA from 1 species